CGCGGAGACGUGUCCCCCGACACCACCGGCGACUUGUACACGAUUUCCGCCCCGUGGUCCGUCUUGGCUUUGGCGUUCUCGCGGAAGGGACGUGGGUGAUGUUAUCCAGGGACCCGAUCUUCGACUGGACUCGAUCCUUGAAGUCCAGCUUCUCAGAUUUGACUUCCACCUGGCCACCUCCUGGAACACAACACACACCAGGGCACCUUGCCAUCUUCCUCCGUGGUUUAGUGGACUCAGAUGCAUUAAAUGAGGGCUGCAGAGCAAAGUGCCACGGGCUGCUGGGGCACAGCAAAAUUUAGGGCAGGUGCCACUGCUCCGAAGGGAAGAGGACAGUGAUACAACCGUCAUGAUUGCACGAGGACUGUAAUUCCAAGUAGGGACCAGCCUUUAGGAGCAAGUAAGACUCUCCCUCAUUUAGCAUGUGGUUUGGAUACAAUUAAGUCCUUGCAAAGGGCUUGAGAACAGUUUGCUUCGUCUCCCUCAUCAAGGUGUGCAUCAAAUAUCUACUCUGAAAACUCCCCCUCAAGAAACUGCGAAGCAAUCAUAAAUGCCAGCUCAGUCCAGAAAAAAUUAUUCUACAUUCUAAAUUGGUUGGUUUCCAACAAGUGAAAUCUUUCUAUAUCAACAACUGGUAGAACACAACCCCAUGAGACCUUGGAAUUAAACUGAAUGUCAAAAUGCACGCUAAAAAGGAAAGACCCUGACCCUUUCUCCCUCCUUGGCCCUUAACGCGGUGCCUGAGGGAGGAAGACCAGGCUGGAGGAAGAGACGGCCCACGUCCCUUCUUGGGACGGAUGAAGAAAGUGGCUCACCGUUGCUGGGAUGGCUGCCAACUGUGGGGUAGUUUUCACUGGGAGACACGGUGUCCGUGUCCGUGACAGCCAGAAAAUAAUGAGACGUGCUCUAGACUGAGCUCCCAAUGGCCUUUUCUUCCCACGGUAACGGUUCAGGUGAAGACCUGGGCCCUGAACAGGAUCUAAUGCAGAAGUCCCUGCUCUGGACUCGCAGGUGGGAGCCACAAUCUACACCUGUGCUGCCCAAGCUGCUAGUCUCAAGCCACAUGUGGCUACUUAAAUGUUAACUAAAUAAAGCUGGUUUGGUUCCUCAA